GACGAACGCUGGCGGCGUGCUUAACACAUGCAAGUCGAACGGAAAGGCCUGCUUUCCCUUGUGGAUUGCGGGUACUCGCGUGGCGAACGGGUGAGUAACACGUGAGUGAUCUGCCCCCAACUUGGGUAUAAGCCUGGGAAACUGGGUCUAAUUCCCGAUAGUACUGCAGGGUGGUGCCGGUGGUGGAAAACGAUUUUCUAGUGUUUGGGGAUGAGCUCGCGGCCUAUCAGCUUGUUGGUGGGGUAAUGGCCUACCAAGGCGGCGACGGGUAGCCGGCCUGAGAGGGUGGACGGCCACAUUGGGACUGAGAUACGGCCCAGACUCCUACGGGAGGCAGCAGUGGGGAAUAUAGCACAAUGGGCGGAAGCCUGAUGCAGCGACGCCGCGUGGGGGAUGACGGCCUUCGGGUUGUAAACUCCUUUCGACCGCGAGGAAGCCACCUGGUUGGAAGGGUGGUGACGGUAGUGGUAGAAGAAGCACCGGCUAACUACGUG
rnacentral:rRNA from 1 species